rnacentral:rRNA from 1 species
CCUACGGGAGGCAGCAGGGAGGAAGAGGGGGCAAGGGCCGGGAGGCUGAACCAGCGAAGGAGCGUGAGGGAAGACGGCCCGACGGGUUGUAAACCUCUGUUGUCAGGGAGCAAGGUGCAGGUCGGGACCUGCUGUGAGAGUACCUGAAGAAAAAGCAUCGGCUAACUCCGUGCCAGCAGACGCGGUAAUACGGAGAUGCGAGCGUUCUCCGGAUUUUUUUGGGUUCAAGGGUGCGCAGGCGGAGGCACAAGUCAGCGGUAAAAUCGCGGGGCUCAACCCCGCUCCGCCGUUGAAACUGUGUCCCUUGAGUGCGCGAAGGGUAGGCGGAAUGCGUGGUGUAGCGGUGAAAUGCAUAGAUAUCACGCAGAACUCCGAUCGCGAAGGCAGCCUACCGGCGCGCAACUGACGCUCAUGCACGAAAGCGUGGGUAUCGAACAGGAUUAGAUACCCGAGUAGUC